AAUCCGGGGGCAAAGAUUUCAACAUAAUUUUUUUUUUUUGGUAUUUUGGGCAAUGCCGGAAUUGACUUGAAAUUGGUUUCUCGAUUGUUUAUGCAUUUUGUGGCGCACAUAACUCGACCGGGACCGACAGAAGUCGAGAGAAAUUCAUAAAUGCCAGAAGAGUGGACGACAAAUAGGCGGCCGCAGUCAAAAGAAGAGACCAUAACAAACGCCGCGCGCGCCAAAACCAAGUGGGGAGCUCUUGGAUAGUUUUUGUUGGACAUCCAAAACUGAUUUCAUUUGCUGUGCACCCGUUGGCCAUUUGACAUGAAUGUGAAUCAGUGUCAGGCAGCCAAAAAUGAUUUGAUUGUCUUUGCAGAUGCAGCCGCUGUGGCAGCUGGGCAUGCAUCAGGCACCCCCGCGUGGCAGGCAUGUUGGCCAAGUUGUUUCAGCCAGCUGCCACUUUCCAAAGCCAGCCAGAGCUGCCUCUGCUGCAGCUCAGCUCGUCGUUAUGGCCCGUUGUCAUAAUCAAAUGCGUUAUCUGGUAGCUAACAGCCGCAUAAUUUCAAGUGGCUCUCAGUGCCCCUCGUUGGGCCUGCUCCAAGUGGAUUUGCGGUUGCCUGGAAAUCAACACGUUGCGCAGCUUCCAGCUCCAACUAUCUGUGUAUGUGUUUGCUUAUGUGUGUGUGAGUGUGCUUGUGUUUGUGUUUGGUUUGCUGCUGGCAUGAUGGUAAUUACGAAUGUGUUGGCUCAAAUGAAGCAGCUCGAAAAAGUGCUCGCAUAUAAUAAUGACAAUAAAGAAAUUAUAACAAUAAUAAACUAAUGGUGGAAAAAAUGGUAUGCGCCCAGCA
rnacentral:sRNA from 1 species